AAUGAAUCAAAACUUUCAACAACGGAUCUCUUGGUUCUGGCAUCGAUGAAGAACGCAGCGAAAUGCGAUAAGUAAUGUGAAUUGCAGAAUUCAGUGAAUCAUCGAAUCUUUGAACGCACAUUGCGCCCGCCAGAAUUCUGGCGGGCAUGCCUGUUCGAG
rnacentral:rRNA from 6 species